AUCCAAGUGCAAGGGCAAUAUCCGCGUCAGUGAGGAGCAAUCCGAGGCCGAGAUUUUUGCUGGUUUAAAACUAUCAUCAUGACUGCUUUUCUUGUUGGUUUCCGACGAGAGAGAAUUUUUGAAAAUGUAAGGCUUUUCG
rnacentral:snRNA from 1 species